rnacentral:rRNA from 1 species
UACAUGGGGUGCAAACGUUGCUCGGAAUUAUUGGGCGUAAAGCGCGCGUAGGCGGUUAUCUAAGUCGGAUGUGAAAGCCCUCGGCUUAACUGAGGAAGUGCACCCGAAACUGGGUAGCUAGAGUACUAAAGAGGGUCGCGGAAUUCCCGGUGUAGAGGUGAAAUUCGUAGAUAUCGGGAGGAACACCAAUUGCGAAGGCAGCUCGCUGGGACGUUACUGACGCUGAGACGCGAAAGCGUGGGGAGCAAACAGG